rnacentral:rRNA from 1 species
UCAAGGAAGAAAGGGCGUACGGAGAAUGCCUGGGCACAGAGAGGCGAUGAAGGACGCAGCGAACAGCGAAAUGCGGCGGCGAGCGGUAAGCACGCGAUGACCCGCCGAUAUCCGAAUGGGGAAACCCCUCCGCUCAAGAAGCGGAGACCGCAUGACGACCGUCAUGACGGGGCAAUACGCAGGGAACUGAAACAUCUAAGUACCUGCAGGAAGAGAAAGAGAAGUCGAUUCCGUAAGUAGCGGCGAGCGAAAGCGGAGGAGCCCAAACCGGACACAGUCCGGGGUUGUAGGACCGCCGAUAAAGAUGACAUGAAGAGUCAGGAGAAUCCCAUGGGAAGGGGAUCCGAAGAGGGUGAGAGACCCGUAUCCGAAGGCUCGACAUGGAUCGAGGCGGCACCUGAGUACGGCGGGGCACGUGGAAUCCUGCCGGAAUCAUCGGGGACCAUCCCGAAAGGCUAAACACUACUCUGUGACCGAUAGCGAACCAGUACCGUGAGGGAAAGGUGAAAAGAACCCCGGGAGGGGAGUGAAAGAGAACCUGAAACCGCAUGCCCACAAGAAGUCAGAGCCCGUCAAAGGGUGAUGGCGUGCCUUUUGUAGAAUGAGCCGGCGAGUCACGAUCAGCAGGCGAGGUUAAGCAGGAUAUGCGGAGCCGCAGCGAAAGCGAGUCUUAAGAGGGCGGAAUAGUCUGAGGUCGUGGACCCGAAACCGGGUGAUCUAGCCAUGAGCAGGUUGAAGUCGGGGUAAGACCCGAUGGAGGACCGAACCGACCCCCGUUGAAACGUUGGCGGAUGACUUGUGGCUAGGGGUGAAAUUCCAAUCGAACCCGGAGAUAGCUGGUUCUCCCCGAAAUAGCUUUAGGGCUAGCGUCGCAGCGAGAGAGCCGUGAAGGUAGAGCACUGAAUAUGCGAUGGCCGCAUCCCGCGGUACUGAGCAUAAUCAAACUCCGAAUGUCACGGUGUCAUCUGCGGCAGUCAGACGGCGAGUGAUAAGGUCCGUCGUCAAGAGGGAAACAGCCCAGACCAUCAGCUAAGGUCCCAAAGUGCAUGCUAAGUGGAAAAGGAAGUGGAGACGUGCAGACAACUAGGAGGUUGGCUCAGAAGCAGCCAUCCUUCAAAGAGUGCGUAACAGCUCACUAGUCGAAUGACUCUGCGCCGAUAAUUUACCGGGGCUAAGCAUGACACCGAAGCUAUGGACAGGAAUGUGGUAGGGGAGCAUUGCAUGCAGCGGAGAAGCAUGACCGAAAGGGCAUGUGGAGCGCAUGGAAGAGAGAAUGCCGGCGUGAGUAGCGGCACGUGGGUGAGAAUCCCACGCACCGAUGGCCCAAGGUCUCCAGAGGAAGGCUCGUCCUCUCUGGGAUAGUCGGGACCUAAGGCGAGGCCGAAAGGCGUAGCCGAUGGACGACGGGUGGAUAUUCCCGUACCCGAUGUGUGGCGAUGGAGUGACGGAGAAGGCUCAGGCAACCAGCUGGUGGAAUAGCUGGGGCAAGCGAGAUACCUGCGCACCAGGGAAAUCCGGUGCGCAUAAGGGGAAGGCGCGAUGCAUACGGAAAGCUUCGGCAAGUACGGAAAAGCUGAGAGCAGGCUUCCAGGAAAAGCUUCUAGCACAACACACAUCGGCCCGUACCGAAAAUGGACACACAUGGGCAAGGAGAGAAUCCUGAGGUGAGCGAGAGAACUAUAGCUAAGGAACUCUGCAAAAUGACCCCGUAACCUAGGGAGAAGGGGUGCUCCAGAAAUGGAGCCGCAGUAAAACGGCCCAAGCGACUGUUUACCAAAAACACAGCUCUCUGCGAAGGCGCAAGCCGAAGUAUAGGGGGUGACGCCUGCCCGGUGCUGGAAGGUCAAGGGGAGCUGUCAGCGCAAGCGAAGCAGCGAGCCGAAGCCCCAGUAAACGGCGGCCGUAACUAUAACGGUCCUAAGGUAGCGAAAUUCCUUGUC